CCCGCCUCGGCAUCCCAAAGUGCUGGGAUUACAGGCGUUAGCCACUGUGCCCAGCCGAGGUGACACCAGAUCUAAAGGAGCCUGCCAAGAGGGAUGAGCAUUCUAAGGACUGCCUGGAUGGGGCACUAAGGAAGCACCAAGCAAGCUCCAGGAGGGAAAGCAGGCAAGGCUGGAGCCGCAGGGAAAGUAGGCUGCAAAGGGAUGUGAUCUUGGCCUUUAGGAUGUCAUUUUACUGUCACUUUGAACAUCAAAGAAACCACAAGCACUGAAGACUUCAGCACCAUUUGCUAUAGUCACAGACCUCCCAUUUUCCCUGCUAGGGGAAAACUUGGUUGCAGAAUCUGGGGAACUGGAUCCGCUGACUCGAAUGCAGCAUAAACUGACUGCAGGAAAUAAGAGGGGACAGGACACACCCCAACCGAGUUCAGGAAGGGAAGGACGGGGCUCAACUAACCAACUGGGAUCUGCAGAUCUCACCGUAUGUCCUUGGGGUGUGCGCCAACCCCACUCUGCCCCAGAUUUUCCUGGGCCAGACCCAUGGUCUGCUCUGACCACAUCAGAUCUCUGUUCCCUCUAAGUUAAAUGGGGCUAAUGUAACAAUCAUACUGUAACAGAACAGUGUGGGACAGGAUCAUAUUUAACAGUUCUGUGUAUCUUGCUAAUCUUUGUCAGCUUCAAGUCAAGAAAGAAUAAACUAUCACUGGAACCAAUUCACAUCCUAAAGUUACUUCCAGUGAAAACCGGAAUUCAUAGAGUAAAACUGUGGUCAGAGACAGAGGCAGUUUUAUGGAGAUUUUUUUUCUUUAUUGGGAAACGUAAGACUUGGGUACAUCAAAUAAAACCAAUUUCUG
rnacentral:lncRNA from 1 species